GAGUGCCUCGCACUCUUCCAUGCUGGAACGGAAAUCAUUCGAUUCAAGGACCGAGGAUUGUGGAACGCUGACAAAUAUACCGAGUUUUCAGUGAUACGAUUCACACCUGUGCGAAGUCAGAAUGAAGGCCUGCCCCGAUGCUUGGCAGCUCUGAAGCACACCCCACAACGACCUCCGCGCUGCGGGGUCGACUCCUGCUGUAGGUUCAUCCAGCAGAACGAGUUCCGGACUUCCGAUGAGAGCCAUUGCGAUGUUGAGGCGACGUUUAUUCCCUCCACUGUAGCUCCCGCUUGGUUUAUUCGCAAAUUUAUUAAGUCCUGCGGAUUGGAAAAUAAAAAAACAUCAUUCGAAUAUUCAUGCAAAUCCGUAAAU
rnacentral:misc_RNA from 1 species